GGGGACGAUCGGUUUCGACGAUCUGAGUUGAUCAUGGGGAAGCGGGUCGAGGACGCAGAGUGACCUCGUUAAAACCCCUCUUGCAACCAAAUAAGUGCCGAAUCUAAGCGCACUGACUUCGCCCUCGCUGCCUGAUAGCAGCGACGCGAGUCUGUCAGCCUGAGUACGCUAUCGACUCAGUGUCUGGCAUCAGCUAGAUAGCCACUGGACAGCGAACUUGCCGUGGGAACGCUGCUCAACAUUGACACGGAUAGGCCCGGGCCAGCCACUUGUCUGCAUGAUGGCUGGGGCCGAUGAAGACCCGCAGCAGACUGCACCCGGAGAAGCCCAUGUGAAUCCAGAUCGGACGCGGGUUCGAUUCCCGCCGUCUCCACC
rnacentral:tmRNA from 1 species